GACGCCAGUCUGCGUGGAGCCAACCUUGAAAUACCACCCUUUAAUGUUUGAUGUUCUAACGUUGGCCCCUUACCGGGGUUGCGGACAGUGUCUGGUGGGUAGUUUGACUGGGGCGGUCUCCUCCUAAAGCGUAACGGAGGAGCACGAAGGUUAGCUAAUCCUGGUCGGACAUCAGGAGGUUAGUGCAAUGGCAUAAGCUAGCUUGACUGCGAGCGUGACGGCGCGAGCAGGUGCGAAAGCAGGUCAUAG
rnacentral:rRNA from 1 species